GCCCUCGUGGUGCAAAGUGUUAAGCACUCAGCUGCUAACUGAAAGGCUGGUGGUUCGAACCCACCCAGUGGCC
rnacentral:tRNA from 1 species